rnacentral:rRNA from 1 species
GUGCCAGCAGCCGCGGUAAUUCCAGCUCCAAUAGCGUAUAUUAAAGUUGUUGCAGUUAAAAAGCUCGUAGUUGGAUCUCAGGUGCAGGCGGGCGGUCCGACUCGCGUCGGUUCACUGCCCGUAUCUCCUGCCCUACCGUUUGCCGGCUCUCUCCCGCGGGUGCUCUUCACUGAGCGUCCCGGGUGGCCGGUGCGUUUACUUUGAAAAAAUUAGAGUGUUCAAAGCAGGCCUCGGCAGCCUGAAUAAUGGUGCAUGGAAUAAUGGAAUAGGACCUCGGUUCUAUUUUGUUGGUUUUCGGAAUUGAGGUAAUGAUUAAUAGGGACAAACGGGGGCAUUCGUAUUGCGGCGUUAGAGGUGAAAUUCUGGGAUCGCCGCAAGACGGACUACUGCGAAAGCAUUU